GCGGACGGCGCUACGGGUGAGUAACGCGUAUCCAACCUGCCCUUUACUAUGGGACAGCCCGUCGAAAGGGCGGAUUAAUACCGUAUGUUGUCAUGUUGAUGCAUAUUUUCAUGACCAAAGGCUUCGGCCGGUAAAGGAUGGGGAUGCGUCUGAUUAGCUUGCCGGCGGGGUAACGGCCCACCGGGGCGACGAUCAGUAGGGGUUCUGAGAGGAAGGUCCCCCACAUUGGAACUGAGACACGGUCCAAACUCCUACGGAAGGCAGCAG
rnacentral:rRNA from 1 species